GCGGACGGGUGAGUAAUGCCUAGGAAUCUGCCUGGUAGUGGGGGACAACGUUUCGAAAGGAACGCUAAUACCGCAUACGUCCUACGGGAGAAAGUAGGGGACCUUCGGGCCUUGCGCUAUCAGGUGAGCCUAGGUCGGAUUAGCUAGUUGGUGGGGUAAUGGCUCACCAAGGCGACGAUCCGUAACUGGUCUGAGAGGAUGAUCAGUCACACUGGAACUGAGACACGGUCCAGACUCCUACGGGAGGCAGCAGUGGGGAAUAUUGGACAAUGGGCGAAAGCCUGAUCCAGCCAUGCCGCGUGUGUGAAGAAGGUCUUCGGAUUGUAAAGCACUUUAAGUUGGGAGGAAGGGCAGUAAGUUAAUACCUUGCUGUUUUGACGUUACCGACAGAAUAAGCACCGGCUAACUCUGUGCCAGCAGCCGCGGUAAUACAGAGGGUGCAAGCGUUAAUCGGAAUUACUGGGCGUAAAGCGCGCGUAGGUGGUUUGUUAAGUUGGAUGUGAAAGCCCCGGGCUCAACCUGGGAACUGCAUCCAAAACUGGCAAGCUAGAGUACGGUAGAGGGUGGUGGAAUUUCCUGUGUAGCGGUGAAAUGCGUAGAUAUAGG
rnacentral:rRNA from 1 species